rnacentral:tRNA from 1 species
AAUUUUAUAGUUUAAAAAAAAAUAUUAAAUUGCAAAUUUAAUGAUAUUUGACAAAUUAAAAUUU